GGAGAGAUGCAGGAGUGGCUGAACUGGCUCGCCUGGAAAGCGGGUAUACCUUCACGGGUAUCGUGGGUUCGAAUCCCACUCUCUCCGCCA
rnacentral:tRNA from 1 species